GCUUGCUCUGGUGGACAGUGGCAGACGGGUGAGUAACGCGUGGGAAUUUGCCUAGUGGUACGGAAUAACGCAGGGAAACUUGUGCUAAUGCCGUAUACGCCCUUCGGGGGAAAGAUUUAUCGCCAUUAGAUAAGCCCGCGUCGGAUUAGCUUGUUGGUGGGGUAAAAGCCUACCAAGGCGACGAUCCGUAGCUGGUCUGAGAGGAUGAUCAGCCACACUGGGACUGAGACACGGCCCAGACUCCUACGGGAGGCAGCAGUGGGGAAUAUUGCACAAUGGGCGCAAGCCUGAUGCAGCCAUGCCGCGUGAGUGAAGAAGGCCUUAGGGUUGUAAAGCUCUUUCAGUGGUGAAGAUAAUGACGGUAGCCACAGAAGAAGCCCCGGCCAACUCCGUGCCAGCAGCCGCGGU
rnacentral:rRNA from 1 species